GGACACUGUAACCGGUAAAGCCUUGGAGCCAGAACCAAGAGGCUCUGUCUUGAGGUCAUCUUCCUGCCCCUAGCCGCGCCAAAACCCUAUCAGACGGUUCCCUUCAGCACCGAAAAAAAUCUAUCAGUAAGAAGGUGACCAAGUGCCCACAGCCGGUGCAGCGAAAACCAGGCUUUCUCCUCCUCCUUCUCCUCCUUAGGAAGGAAGUGACUUUCCACUGGGUGAUUCACAGCUCUGUGCAAACACUGAGGAAAACACUGAAGGAAGCGGCUUCCUCCCACCUCCAGCCUCCAGGUUGAUGGACUGCAUGUCUUAACCCACGACCAUCACACAUAAUAAAAUAUACCCAUCAUCAAUAAUCCUCUUUCCAACUCC
rnacentral:lncRNA from 1 species